rnacentral:rRNA from 1 species
AUUGAACGCUGGCGGCAGGCCUAACACAUGCAAGUCGAGCGGCAGCGGGAAAGUAGCUUGCUACUUUUGCCGGCGAGCGGCGGACGGGUGAGUAAUGCCUGGGAAAUUGCCCAGUCGAGGGGGAUAACAGUUGGAAACGACUGCUAAUACCGCAUACGCCCUACAGGGGAAAGCAGGGGACCUUCGGGCCUUGCGCGAUUGGAUAUGCCCAGGUGGGAUUAGCUAGUUGGUGAGGUAAUGGCUCACCAAGGCGACGAUCCCUAGCUGGUCUGAGGGGAUGAUCAGCCACACUGGAACUGAGACACGGUCCAGACUCCUACGGGAGGCAGCAGUGGGGAAUAUUGCACAAUGGGGGAAACCCUGAUGCAGCCAGGCCGCGUGUGUGAAGAAGGCCUUCGGGUUGUAAAGCACUUUCAGCGAGGAGGAAAGGUUGAUGCCUAAUACGUAUCAACUGUGACGUUACUCGCAGAAGAAGCACCGGCUAACUCCGUGCCAGCCGCCGCGGUAAGAC